UACGUAGGGGGCAAGCGUUGUCCGGAAUCAUUGGGCGUAAAGCGCGCGUAGGCGGCCCGGUAAGUCCGCUCUGAAAGUCCAGGGCUCAACCCUGGAAAGCGGGUGGAUACUGCCGGGCUAGAAUCCGGAAGAGGCGAGUGGAAUUCCUGGUGUAGCGGUGGAAUGCGUAGAGAUCCGGAAGAACACCAGUGGCGAAGGCGGUCUGCUGGGCAGUUGCUGACACUGAUGCGCGACAGCGUGGGGAGCAAACAGG
rnacentral:rRNA from 1 species